GGGCCCGUGGCGGAACAGGCAGACGCAGCGGACUUAAAAUCCGCAGCCGCAAGGCAUGUGGGUUCGAUUCCCACCGGGCCCA
rnacentral:tRNA from 1 species